rfam:Rattus norvegicus chromosome 8, whole genome shotgun sequence.
GGGGAUUUAGCUCAGUGGUAGAGCGCUUGUCUGGCAAGCUCAAGGCCCUGGGUUCGGUCCCCAGCUCCG